GUGUGUGUGUGUGCCUGUGUGUGUGUGUGUGUGUGUGUGUGUGUGUGUGUGUGUGUGUGUGUGUGUGUGAGACAUGUCUGGAAGAAAUCUGUCAGACUUCAUCAUCACUGCUGUGGCUGAAGGACGGAGCAGGCGGUGCUGAGGAUGCAGUCACACUCUUCUCAAAGCGCUUGCUGUUGAAAUCUGACGUGGCUGGACGUGACUCCGCCUCUUCCUGUGAACGCACUCCCAGCUAGAUUGAUUAACCUGUUAUUGUGGUUUUGAUGGUGAUGAUGUCAUCUUUGUGUCCUCCAGCCCAAACUUCUAUAUCCUGGACGAGCCGACCAAUCACCUGGACAUGGAGACCAUCGAGGCGCUCGCUAAGGCUCUGAACAAAUUCAAGGGCGGGGUCAUCCUGGUGUCACAUGACGAGCGUCUGAUCAGGAUGGUGUGUAAGGAGCUGUGGGUGUGUGAAGGCGGGAAGGUGCGGCGCAUCGACGGCGGGUUCGAUGAGUACCGGGACAUCCUGCACGAGCAGUUCAAGAAGGAGGGUUACCUGUGACGCUCCACCCACUGCUUACUGACCGUACCCACCACUGACAUAACCACGCCCCCUCCAUUAUGAUGUGUCGCAGCAGCUAAUCGGCAUCUAGAGCGGACCGGAGGACUUUUUCUUCUCUGAACUCUCACCUGCUGCUCAGGUGAUCUGCUGCAAGCUGAUUGGCUGCGAACUCUGCGGGGAGAGGGGUCACCCAGAGCGGCUCGGCGUUUAUUUAACGAGUGAACCUGUCGUCUGUCUGUCGUCUCAGCUGAUUGUGUUUUGUAUGGCAGCGGUUUCCUGCGAGCUGAUGUCACAGUGACAUCAGACACAAAACAAAUAAAAGAAUCAUAUCACG